rnacentral:ncRNA from 2 species
GAAACUGCCUCGGGGGUGAAACGGGAAACCCGGUGACGCAAUUAAUGCUAUCCCGGUGCUGCCCCCGCAACGGUAAGCGCUGUGUCAUGCCUCAAGCCACUGGAUCUUUGGAUCUGGGAAGGCGGCAUGUUCGGCAGGGAUGCCCUGCCCCGCGCGAGCCCGGAGACCGGCCUUUCGGAUUCCAUGUGC